rfam:Triticum aestivum genome assembly, contig: Triticum_aestivum_CS42_TGACv1_scaffold_322139_4BL
AUUGUACUCCCUCCGUCCCAAAAUUCUUGUCUUAGAUUUGUCAAAAUACGAAUGUUCGUUUUUUGACAAAUCUAAGACAAGAAUUUUGGGACGGAGGGAGUACAAC